CAACCUGCCGCUUACUCGGGGAUAGCCUUUCGAAAGAAAGAUUAAUACCCGAUGGUAUAAAGAGUUCGCAUGUUCUCUAUAUUAAAGAAUUUCGGUAAGCGAUGGGGAUGCGUUCCAUUAGAUAGUUGGCGGGGUAACGGCCCACCAAGUCUACGAUGGAUAGGGGUUCUGAGAGGAAGGUCCCCCACAUUGGAACUGAGACACGGUCCAAACUCCUACGGGAGGCAGCAGUGAGGAAUAUUGGUCAAUGGACGAGAGUCUGAACCAGCCAAGUAGCGUGAAGGAUAACUGCCCUAUGGGUUGUAAACUUCUUUUAUAAGGGAAUAAAGUGAGGGACGUGUCCCUUUUUGUAUGUACCUUAUGAAUAAGGAUCGGCUAACUCCGUGCCAGCAGCCGCGGUAAUACGGAGGAUCCAAGCGUUAUCCGGAUUUAUUGGGUUUAAAGGGAGCGUAGGUUGACAUAUAAGUCAGCUGUGAAAGUUUACGGCUCAACCGUGAAAUUGCAGUUGAUACUGUAUGUCUUGAGUGUACAAGAGGUGGGCGGAAUUCGUGGUGUAGCGGUGAAAUGCUUAGAUAUCACGAAGAACUCCGAUUG
rnacentral:rRNA from 1 species